CGGCAACAGCUCAAAUUUGAAAUCUGGCUCUUUCAGAGUCCGAGUUGUAAUUUGCAGAGGGUGCUUUGGUGGUAGUUGCGGUCUAAGUUCUUUGGAACAGAAUGUCAAAGAGGGUGAGAAUCCCGU
rnacentral:rRNA from 1 species